rnacentral:rRNA from 1 species
CCCUUAGAUGUUCUGGGCCGCACACGCGCUACACUGAAGGAGGCAGCGUGUACUCCUGGAUCGAAAGAUUUGGGUAACCCGCGAAUCUCCUUCGUGCUAGGGAUUGAGGUUUGCAAUUAUCCUUCAUGAACGAGGAAUUCCCAGUAAGUGCAAGUCAUAAGCUUGCGCUGACUACGUCCCUGCCCUUUGUACACACCGCCCGUCGCUACUACCGAUUGAAUGAUUUAGUGAGGACUUCGGACUGGGACCGAUGCGGCUUUCGGGCUGCGUCGGUAUUCUGGAAAGAUGUCCAAACUGUAUCAUGUAGAGGAAGUAAAAGUCGUAACA